AUACGUAGGGGGCGAGCGUUGUCCGGAAUGAUUGGGCGUAAAGGGCGCGUAGGCGGCCCGGUAAGUCUGGAGUGAAAGUCCUGUUUUUAAGAUGGGAAUUGCUUUGGAUACUGUCGGGCUUGAGUGCAGGAGAGGUAAGUGGAAUUCCCAGUGUAGCGGUGUAAUGCGUAGAGAUUGGGAGGAACACCAGUGGCGAAGGCGACUUACUGGACUGUAACUGACGCUGAGGCGCGAAAGUGUGGGGAGCAAACAGGAUUAGAUACCCUGGUAGUCCACACUGUAAACGAUGAAUACUAGGUGUGCGGGGACUGACCCCCUGCGUGCCGGCGUUAACACAAUAAGUAUUCCACCUGGGGAGUACGAUCGCAAGGUUGAAACUCAAAGGAAUUGACGGGG
rnacentral:rRNA from 1 species